UUUUGAUGAGCAGAAGUUUAGUUUUUGAUGAAGUGUUAUUUAUUAAUUUUUCUUUUAAGAUUAUGGCUUUCUGUCUCCUAAAAACCUUUGUGCACCUCAUUGUCAGAUAAUAUACUAAUACUAAUUUUUUGUGUUUGUUUUUUGUUUUAUUUUUAAGACAAGGUCUUGCUCUGUUGCCCAGGCUGGAGUGCAGUGGCGCCAUCAUGGCUCUCUGAAGCCUCAACCUCCCAGGCUCAAGUGAUCCUCCCAUCUCAGCCUCCCAAGUACCUGGGACACAGGCACAUGCCACCACACCCAGCUAAUUAAAAAAAAAAAAAAA
rnacentral:lncRNA from 1 species